AGCGAACGCUGGCGGCAGGCCUAACACAUGCAAGUCGAACGGACCCUUCGGGGUUAGUGGCGGACGGGUGAGUAACACGUGGGAACGUGCCUUUAGGUUCGGAAUAGCUCCUGGAAACGGGUGGUAAUGCCGAAUGUGCCCUUCGGGGGAAAGAUUUAUCGCCUUUAGAGCGGCCCGCGUCUGAUUAGCUAGUUGGUGAGGUAAUGGAUCACCAAGGCGACGAUCAGUAGCUGGUCUGAGAGGAUGACCAGCCACAUUGGGACUGGGACACGGCCCAAACUCCUACGGGAGGCAGCAGUGGGGAAUCUUGCGCAAUGGGCGAAAGCCUGACGCAGCCAUGCCGCGUGGAUGAUGAAGGUCUUAGGAUUGUAAAAUCCUUUCACCGGUGAAGAUAAUGACUGUAGCCGGAGAAGAAGCCCCGGCUAACUUCGUGCCAGCCGCCGCCGUAAGAC
rnacentral:rRNA from 1 species